rnacentral:rRNA from 1 species
GAAAAGAACCCCGGCGAGGGGAGUGAAAAAGAACCUGAAACCGUGUACGUACAAGCAGUGGGAGCACAGGUUUACCUGUGUGACUGCGUACCUUUUGUAUAAUGGGUCAGCGACUUAUAUUCUGUAGCAAGGUUAACCGAAUAGGGGAGCCGGAGGGAAACCGAGUCUUAAUUGGGCGUUAAGUUGCAGGGUAUAGACCCGAAACCCGGUGAUCUAGCCAUGGGCAGGUUGAAGGUUGGGUAACACUAACUGGAGGACCGAACCGACUAAUGUUGAAAAAUUAGCGGAUGACCUGUGGCUGGGGGUGAAAGGCCAAUCAAACCGGGAGAUAGCUGGUUCUCCCCGAAAGCUAUUUAGGUAGCGCCUCGUGAAUUCAUCUCCGGGGGUAGAGCACUGUUUCGGCUAGGGGGCCAUCCCGGCUUACCAACCCGAUGCAAACUGCGAAUACCGGAGAAUGUUAUCACGGGAGACACACGGCGGGUGCUAACGUCCGUCGUGAAGAGGGAAACAACCCAGACCGCCAGCUAAGGUCCCAAAGUCAUGGUUAAGUGGGAAACGAUGUGGGAAGGCCCAGACAGCCAGGAUGUUGGCUUAGAAGCAGCCAUCAUUUAAAGAAAGCGUAAUAGCUCACUGGUCGAGUCGGCCUGCGCGGAAGAUGUAACGGGGCUAAACCAU